rnacentral:pre_miRNA from 1 species
AGAUGAUGGUGGGGGUGGUGGUGGUGGUGGUGGUGGUGGUGGAGUCUAUUAAUUGUUUUUCUUCGCCAUCACUCUCAUCACUUUCAUUAUUAUUCGUC